UGUGGUGGAUUCUGACUGGCGCCAGUAGUCGGAUAUGUAUUCGGCUUCGCGCCGGGAAAAUUUCCCAAACCAAAUCAUCUAGAGGAAGUAAAAGUCGUAACAAGGUUUCCGUAGGUGAACCUGCGGAAGGAUCAUUA
rnacentral:ncRNA from 1 species